CUCGCUUCCUUUCGCAGUAAACGUUUUUCGAGAAAUUGGAAGGGGCUCUCAGCCAAGCGGAGGGGGAAGGGAUCCUGCCCGCGAUUGGGGAGACCGAAGGGCACAGCCCCCCGCGCCGCGCGCGCCGCCCGAUCCCGGAGUGCGGACACCCUAGGGAUGUGAGUGCGCCCCCCGACCCCAGGGCCCGCGCUUCACUCCCGGAUCCGCGGCCUGCGCCCCAGAGGACCCCCGCCCGCAGCCCCUGCGCCUCCCCCAGACCCGCCUGGAGCACGCA